rnacentral:rRNA from 1 species
GACGUAGGGCGCGAGCGUUGUCCGGAUUUAUUGGGCGUAAAGAGCUCGUAGGCGGCUUGUUGCGUCGGCUGUGAAAACCCGUGGCUUAACUGCGGGCUUGCAGCCGAUACGGGCGGGCUAGAGUUCGGUAGGGGAGACUGGAAUUCCUGGUGUAGCGGUGAAAUGCGCAGAUAUCAGGAGGAACACCGGUGGCGAAGGCGGGUCUCUGGGCCACUACUGACGCUGAGAAGCGAAAGCAUGGGGAGCGAACAGG